UAUCUGUGCGUUUUUCUCUCUGGGCA
rnacentral:piRNA from 1 species